rnacentral:rRNA from 1 species
GACGAACGCUUGCGGCGUGCUUAACACAUGCAAGUCGAACGGAAAGGCCCUGCUUUUGUGGGGUGCUCGAGUGGCGAACGGGUGAGUAACACGUGAGUAACCUGCCCUUGACUUUGGGAUAACUUCAGGAAACUGGGGCUAAUACCGGAUAGGAGCUCCUGCUGCAUGGUGGGGGUUGGAAAGUUUCGGCGGUUGGGGAUGGACUCGCGGCUUAUCAGCUUGUUGGUGGGGUAGUGGCUUACCAAGGCUUUGACGGGUAGCCGGCCUGAGAGGGUGACCGGCCACAUUGGGACUGAGAUACGGCCCAGACUCCUACGGGAGGCAGCAGUGGGGAAUAUUGCACAAUGGGCGGAAGCCUGAUGCAGCAACGCCGCGUGCGGGAUGACGGCCUUCGGGUUGUAAACCGCUUUCGUCUGUGACGAAGCGUGAGUGACGGUAAUGGGUAAAGAAGCACCGGCUAACUACGUGCCAGCAGCCGCGGUGAUACGUAGGGUGCGAGCGUUGUCCGGAUUUAUUGGGCGUAAAGGGCUCGUAGGUGGUUGAUCGCGUCGGAAGUGUAAUCUUGGGGCUUAACCCUGAGCGUGCUUUCGAUACGGGUUGACUUGAGGAAGGUAGGGGAGAAUGGAAUUCCUGGUGGAGCGGUGGAAUGCGCAGAUAUCAGGAGGAACACCAGUGGCGAAGGCGGUUCUCUGGGCCUUUCCUGACGCUGAGGAGCGAAAGCGUGGGGAGCGAACAGGCUUAGAUACCCUGGUAGUCCACGCUGUAAACGGUGGGUACUAGGUGUGGGGUCCAUUCCACGGGUUCCGUGCCGUAGCUAACGCUUUAAGUACCCCGCCUGGGGAGUACGGCCGCAAGGCUAACACUCAAAGGAAUUGACGGGGCCCCGCACAAGCGGCGGAGCAUGCGGAUUAAUUCGAUGCAACGCGUAGAACCUUACCUGGGUUUGACAUGGAUCGGGAGUGCUCAGAGAUGGGUGUGCCUCUUUUGGGGUCGGUUCACAGGUGGUGCAUGCCUGUCGUCAGCUCGUGUCGUGAGAUGUUGGGUUAAGUCCCGCAACGAGCGCAACCCUUGUUCACUGUUGCCAGCACGUUAUGGUGGGGACUCAGUGGAGACCGCCGGGGUCAACUCGGAGGAAGGUGGGGAUGACGUCAAGUCAUCAUGCCCCUUAUGUCCAGGGCUUCACGCAUGCUACAAUGGCUGGUACAGAGAGUGGCGAGCCUGUGAGGGUGAGCGAAUCUCGGAAAGCCGGUCUCAGUUCGGAUUGGGGUCUGCAACUCGACCUCAUGAAGUCGGAGUCGCUAGUAAUCGCAGAUCAGCAACGCUGCGGUGAAUACGUUCCCGGG